rnacentral:misc_RNA from 1 species
ACAAACUUGGUCAUUUAGAGGAAGUAAAAGUCGUAACAAGGUUUCCGUAGGUGAACCUGCGGAAGGAUCAUUACCGAGUUCUGAGGUCUCUAUUCGAGCCUCAACUCCCACACCAUGUGUACCUUACCUUCUGUUGCUUCGGCGAGCCGCCCUGAAAAGGGCGCCAACUCCCUUGUGAGUUGGAGCGUCUGCUCGCCGGAGGACCAUGAAACUCUUGCUAAUUGAAUCGUCUGAGUAACGUUUUAAUAAAUUAAAACUUUCAACAACGGAUCUCUUGGUUCUGGCAUCGAUGAAGAACGCAGC